GAUAUGCUAGCAUAUUGUAUUAACCUAAGUUCUCAAAUUGGUUUGAUUCAAAGUAUUUGAGCUAACCUAGAUCAGUUGGCUUUGACCUAAUGGGAUUGGGUCAAUUUGGAUUGGAUCCUUAUCCAACUUAGAUCAGUUUCAAGUGGAGAAGGACUCCUCCACGUUCACCAAAAGCCACACAAAAAUAUAAUUGCCGCCCAC
rnacentral:lncRNA from 1 species